rnacentral:rRNA from 1 species
GAUGAACGCUGGCGGCGUGCCUAACACAUGCAAGUCGAACGUGAGAGCUUAGCAAUAGGCUUGAAAGUGGCGAACGGGUGAGUAACACGUAGGUAACUUGCCGCGCAGAGGGGGAUAACCACUGGAAACGGUGGCUAACACCGCAUGGUACUGUUUUGGGGGGACCCUGGACGGUUAAAACUAUGGUGCUGCGCGAGGGGCCUGCGUCCGAUUAGUUAGUUGGCGAGGUAACGGCUCACCAAGACGAUGAUCGGUAGCUAGUCUGAGAGGAUGAUUAGCCACACGGGAACUGAGACACGGUCCCGACUCCUACGGGGGGCAGCAGUGAGGAAUAUUGCACAAUGGACGCAAGUCUGAUGCAGCAACGCCGCGUGGAGGAUGAAGGUCUUUGGAUUGUAAACUCCUUUUCUCAGGGAAGAGAAUGGACGGUACCUGAGGAAUAAGACACGGCUAACUACGUGCCAGCAGCCGCGGUAAUACGUAGGUGGCAAGCGUUAUCCGGUAA